UGGUGGAGUGAUUUGUCUGGUUAAUUCCGAUAACGAACGAGACCUUAACCUGCUAAAUAGUUGCAUCUACUCUGGUAGAUGAUCAACUUCUUAGAGGGACUAUAGACGUUUAGUCUAUGGAAGUUUGAGGCAAUAACA
rnacentral:rRNA from 1 species